GGGGACGCUUAUUGGGCCUAAAGCAUCCGUAGCCGGCUAGACAAGUCCCCUGGUUAAAUCCAGCGAUUCAAUCGCUGGACUGCGGGGGAUACUGUCCAGCUAGAGGAUGGGAGAGGCCAGCGGUAUUCCCGGGGUAGGGGUGAAAUCUUAUAAUCCCGGGAGGACCACCAGUGGCGAAGGCUGCUGGCUGGAACGCGCCCGACGGUGAGGGAUGAAAGCUGGGGGAGCGAACCGGAAUAGAUACCCGGGUAGUCCCAGCCGUAAACGAUGCGGGCUAGGUGUUGGAACGGCUACGAGCCGUUCCAGUGCCGCAGGGAAGCCAUUAAGCCCGCCGCCUGGGAAGUACGGCCGCAAGGCUGAAACUUAAAGGAAUUGGCGGGGGAGCACCACAAGGGGUGAAGCCUGCGGUUUAAUUGGAGUCAACGCCGGGAACCUCACCGGGGGUGACAGCAGGAUGAAGGCCAGAUUAACGGUCUUGCUAGACAAGCUGAGAGGAGGUGCAUGGCCGUCGCCAGUUCGUGCCGUGAGGUGUCCUGUCAAGUCAGGCAACGAACGAGACCCCUGCUCCUAGUUGCCAGCGGAUCCCAUUGGGAUGCCGGGCAUAACUAGGAGGACUGCCGCCGAUAAGGCGGAGGAAGGAGGGGGCCACGGCAGGUCAGCAUGCCCCGAAUCUCCCGGGCCACACGCGGGCUGCAAUGGCAGGGACAGAGGGCUCCGACCCCGAGAGGGGAAGGUAAUCCCUAAACCCUGCCUUAGUUGGAAUCGAGGGCUGCAACCCGCCCUCGUGAACAUGGAAUCCCUAGUAACCGCGUGUCAUCAUCGCGCGGGAAUA
rnacentral:rRNA from 1 species